ACUAUCGACAAAACAUUUGAGGGCAAUUUGACAACCCCAUCAUGAAGGCCCCGGGUUUGAUCCCAGGUCAGGUCGUGUGGGAUUUGUGAUGGACAAAAUGACACUGGGGCAGGUUUUCUCUGCAUUCAAUCAUCAUCUGUCAUUUGGAACUGGCUCAGUGGGCCAAAUAGUGGUUGACACACCAAGUGGACUUACUGUUACACCACCCAAAGAAAUGGCAUAUAAAGUGAUGUAGAGGACUGAUUGUGGAUGAUACCAAUGUGCAUCGUGUGACUAUCGACAAAACAUUUGAGGGCAAUUUGACAACAAAGCUAAUCAAUGGCACUAUCUUUAUCUUCAAUCCUUGUACUGGUCAGCUGUUCUCAAAGAUAAUCACCAUGUUUGUUCAUCAAUUUCUGCUAUUUGUUGGUGCUGAGCUGAUGGAGCAGUAAUCUCCAAACCCAAAAUGAUGUCACGAAUUUCUGACUGAGUCAGUGACGCCGAAUCGACACUGAAAAUUGAAACGUACACCAGUCACACUCAAUUUGUGCACAAACUAUACAUUUUUUCCUAAGCAUUUAACAAAGUAAUCAUAAACACAAUUUAUGUACUGAAAACCAUGUACAUGGUUCCUUUGGUGAGCAGCAGAUUUCACCAACACUAAACAAAAGAAUAUCUUCAGUAAAUUCAACACAGACACCAUUAAUUUGUGAUCACUGAAAUUCAGUAUUAACUGAGAGAGAAAAGCUUAAAUUUGGAAAAUGCCCACAGAAAUAUAUAGGACAAACGGGGCGAAUAUUUAAAAUCAGAUUUAAAGAACAUAGACAAAGAACAGUGGCAAAAUUCCAAAUUUGACCAACACAUAGUGGACACUAUACACGAAUAUCGAACAAUAGAUGAAACUAUGGAAAUCUCCAUCGGAAAGGAAGGAUGAAUGGUGGAUACUCAUGAAAGAUUUCAUACAUAUGAAAUCAGUAAGCAAAACACCCAGUUGAAUGACAAUUUUACCAAAAUAUUUAGCCCAAUAUGUGACACAAUAAUGGCAGCCUACCAAGUAUAAGCUAAGGUGCACAUUGAGCUGCGUAUCGCAGUAGGGGCAGGGCAGGGCAGCACGGAAAAAAGAACUGUGUGGCACAGUUGUCGACGUAUAUUGGAAAGCGGUUUUAUUCAGCAGUUUGACGAAGGCAGGGGUAGUUUGUGCGUGAAACCAAAUCGAAAAUCAAAACAUGUUUGCGGAAUACCUUGAUUUGAGCUCUGAGACAGAUUUGGACAGCGAGUUAGAAACAUUACUAUUACUCUAUCGGAAGUCGAGGAAGGUAAAGCUGUGGAAAAGUGAGUACAUGAAAAAAAAGAGGGACUCACGGGGAAUUUGCACUGACAAGAGAAUUCUCCAAUGAACGAUUUGUGAACUAUUUCCUUAUGAAUCGAGAGGAGUUUGAAGAAGUUCAUAGCAUGAUUCAACCUAUUAUAUACUCUGAGGGAUGCAAUGCUCAAAUUCCAAUUUGAACUGAAUAAAAACUGGCACUAUUUUUAGGUAAGUUUUUUAUUUUAUAUUUUUUAAGGACUGACAAUAUACAUUACAAUAUAAUAAGAAACUGAUAAUAUACAUGGCAAAAACGCAUUUAAGUUUUUAUUCUGAGAAAUGGUUAAUGAAAGAGACUACGUUGGAAGAUUCUAAGUUUUCACGAGCAGCCACCGUCUCUCAACAGAAGUAGGAAGGACGAGGUUCUUUGGUUGUGGCGUUGGUGAUACAGGAGAUUCAGCAGACUCGUUGUUUGCAGAUGAAUUACGUGAUUCAUCCUCUUUAACAUCGGCAGUGUUUGGUAUUUGGCAUCUGGGGAUAGCUACAAAAGCAUUGGCUACAGUUACAGGAUGGGAGAUCGAACUGUAGCUAAAAUUGUGAACAAAGUCUCAAUUGCCAUUUGGAGAAAUAUGCAACAGUUGUAUUUACCACAACCUACAAGAGAAAUGUGGAUCUCGAUUGCCUCAGAUUUUGAAACACGAUGGCAUUUUCCAUACUGCUUUGGAGCCAUCGAUGGAAAGCAUGUUGUUAUCAAAAAGCCUAAUAAAUCUGGAUCCUUAUUCUUUAA